UGCUCGAUCUAGUUUGUGUUUAGCGGCUCGCUAGUAGAGAGGCACACACGAUCGAAGAUUAAGAGAUUAGCUAGUACCCACCUCCGGUGCUGUACGUGCCGCCGGUGUUGCCGCCGCACUUCCCGAAGCACAGGCCGGAGCAAUUGCCGCCCUUUCCGGUGCCGAUGCCUAGCAGUAUGCCGGUCCCCGUGCCGAUGCCGCCACCGGUGCACGUCCCGAUGCCGCCGGUACCGGUCUCGAUGCUCGUGCCCAUGCCGCCCGUACGCGUCGUGCCCGUGCCGCCGAUACUCGUGCCCAUGCCGCCGCCUGUACGCGUCGUGCCGGUACCGGUGCUCGUGCCCAUGCCGCCUGUGCACGUCGUCGUGCCUAUGCCGCCACCGGUGCGCGUCGAGCCCAUGGGAGGACGGCGGCCACGGAUGGGAGGCGUGCCGCCAAUGGUCCGCGUGCCGAUGCGCGGCCGCCGGAUGGGGAGAGUGCCCCGCGUGGUGCCAGUGUACCCUAGCAUGGUGUGGCCCGUACCGCCGCCCGUGGUGGUGCCGCCGUUCGUGCCUCCGUUCAUGGUACCGCCGUUCGUGCCGUCAUCCACCACUUCAUGACUUCACCGAUCGACGUCGGUAACGACCGCGCGAGAUGCUGCAGGUGCAUGGACACGCGGGGGUACCGGUCAAUGCAUGCGACCGCAUAGAGGUAGUAGACGGAAUCAACUAAGUGGUACGAGGCAACAUCGCUGGUUAUUGCAGAAUGUAAUGACUCUGCUUCCCUCAUGAUGGAUUUAUUUCUCGAUGCGCACGUACCCGUUCCACACACCAUACAUUACAGACACAUGGAAUUUUUUACAUUACUAGAUACACCACUGGAUUCAGACAGCACGCACUGAAUUAUCCUCAUGAUGUAUUUGUAUUAAAAAUAAAAAUCAGCUGACCUUUACUAAC
rnacentral:rRNA from 1 species